GAGAUUGUAGCUCAGUUGGUCAGAGCACCGCCCUGUCAAGGCAAAAGUUGCGGGUGCGAGCCCUGCCAGUCCUG
rnacentral:tRNA from 1 species